CUGCUGCAGAUCCUAGUAGCCCUGGCCUGUCUGUGUGGUAACCACUGGGCGACGGGUGGUGGUGACGGAGCUUGGCGUAGCUGAGAGCAGCGGAGACGCUGUCUGGUCUGGACCUGAGAGCUAUUGACAUCUGGAAAAGGGAUUCAGAAGGAGGGGUGUCAUUAUUUGGGCUGGAUGAAUUCUCAAAUCAUGUUUAAGGAAACUCAUGUUUCUUUAAGAGGCUUUUGGUUGUCUUUCAUUAUAGAUUCAUGAAUAGGCUGAGCAGUUGUAUUUGGAAUUAAAUUAGACUUCCACCAGUGAAAAAGCAACUGGCUGACAAGGCAGUGAUCAUCUUAUUCCUGGGCCUCUCACUUCAGUGACUUCCUAAGAUGAAGACCCAGGAAGGUCGCAUGACACCUGAAUGUAAUCUGGUUUGAUUAAAUCUGAUGACAGCCAAAUUAUCAUGUUGUUCCAAUUAGGCAGGUGAAGAAAAUUAAAGUCUUUCUUCUUUUGACUUUGCUUUGAAUGACUCUUGCCAAUACACAAGGUAUUAAUGUUGGAAGUGUGGAACUUCAGAGUGGAUGAAUUAGAGCUCACACAAAAGGAAGACACAAUUUAAUAAGUUUGUCAAGGACAAAAAGAACAAAAGAGAAGGCAGACUGUCUUUGUAAUGCUACCAAGUCAUUGUCUAAGAAAGCUGAAGUUCUCAGAUCUUUCAGAGAAACUGGUGAUAAGAGACACUUCUUUUAACUUUGUAGCAUCUGCAGUAUGAAUUAG